ACCAAGUUAAUGUAUGACGAGCCAAAUUGUUGUUGCGGUAAUAAAAAAAUUUUACUCGAUUUUUUUUUUAUUCAAAGCAGGGUACUUCAGAUUCUUGCACACAGAUUUCUUCAGAUUUGUGUAAACAUUAAACGUUAUAAAAAACAUUAUAUAGUUUCGGCAUAGUGAUGCAACUGCAGCGUGAAAGUUAGCAUAAACUCUCCAGAUAUUGCGUGGCUAAAAGCUGUCAAGCCAGUACGCGACCAAAGAUAAAAAAAAACAACAGAUGAAACUAGCAAAACUUAAUACAACAUUUUUUUUACUAAUAUCUAUUUAGUAAAAAUUUUACAACAAUGUUUAUAACAAAUUGAGUUUUUAUACUUGAAAGAAAAUAGAGAAAUUAAAAUGAGCUACCACUAACUACCACUAACAAGUUUUUAACAAGACCGCUAAUGGAAACGUAGGACGUAUUUUGUCAAAAACAAGAAAACUGGAAACAAGUUAAAUGUAUAUGGAAAGUUUUGAAGCUAUUGUACGCUGAAAGCACAUUCUAAAGUUGUAGCUGUAGAUGUGUGAUGUAUGCCAUCAGUGAUUUUCAUGUGCUACUAAGUGUUUUACUCAAACGUUUCUUUAACGUUAAAGUGCACGAACCAAGUGUUUGGCCAUAUAAUCGUGCUGUUAAAGUCUGCCUGAAUUGUUGUGAUGUCCAAUCCAGACUUUAAGAUGCCGAUAACUCUGUUGUUGUCAGCGUAUAACAUUAUCUUGUGGACAAUCCUAUCAAGAAGAUUGUUUAUAGAAAAGAUGCAAAGUAAUAGCUCCUAGAACCUUGAGGAACUCGUUCUUCGAGUCAGAAACGCGUUUUCUUAGCAUAACCCAUCGUUUACGUUCAUUUCAAUCCAAAAAGCAGAUUGUUGCAAAUGAAAUAUGCUUUAAAUUUGUAUAGAAGACGUUUUUGAGGGACCUUAUUGAAUACCUUAGAAAAAUUGAUCUAGAUAACAUUACCACUAUAGUCUUGGUGCAUACCUUUGUUAUGUGUAUUCAAGAAGGUCAGUCAGACUUUUACAAACAAAACCGGGUUGGUGCUUGGAAACUAGAUUGUUUACCAUGCAGUCAUGGCAGUCAGCAAAUUUUGGAAAACGAAGACCUUUUUUUUUUUUUUUAACCCCCCUCCACGUGACACCUACUCGC